rnacentral:rRNA from 1 species
UGUGGAUAGGGGAGAAAUUCCAAUCGAACCCGGAGAUAGCUGGUUCUCCUCGAAAUAGCUUUAGGGCUAGCCUCAUGGAUCAUUGAUGGGGGUAGAGCACUGAAUGUGCGCGGGGGCCACAAAGCCUACCAAACGCUAUCAAACUUCGAAUACCAUACAAUGCAGACCAUGGGAGUCAGUCCGCGAGAGAUAAGUUCCGCGGGCAAAAGGGGAACACCCCAGAUCAACCGCUAAGGUCCCCAAGUUCACGUUAAGUGGAGAAGGAUGUGGAAUUGCACAGACAACCAGGAUGUUGGCUCAGAAGCAGCCACACAUUUAAAGAGUGCGUAAUAGCUCACUGGUCGAGUGAUUGUGCGCCGAAGAUGUCCGGGGCUAAACGUGACACCGAAGCGAUGGGUGCGUCUGAAGAAGAUGCGCGGUAGAGGAGCAAUGUGCAGAGGCAGAAGCCGUAUCGAGAGGCACGGUGGACACUGCACAAGAGAGAAUGCCGGUAUGAGUAGCGAGAGGCAUGCGAGAAACAUGCCCGUCGAAAGCCCAAGGUUUCCUGGGGAAGGUUCAUCCGCCCAGGGUAAGUCGGGGCCUAAGCCGAGGACGGAAGUCGUAGGCGAUGGACAGCAGGUGUAGAUUCCUGCACUACCGAUGGAAUGAAGCAGUGACACAGAAGGAUAACUCGAGCAGGGUGAUGGUCAACCCUGUGCAAGCAUUGAGGUUGGGUUGUAGUGAAGUACGCAAUCCUAUAAGCUGAGAUGUGAUGCGGACCGAAAUUUCAGUAGGGAAGCGAGUGAGUUCACGCUGGCGAGAAAAGCUGCUAGUAUAUCCAAAGGUACCCGUACCGGAAACCGACGCAGGUGGGCGAGGAGAGAAUCCUGAGACGAACGGGAGAACCCUUGUUAAGGAACUCGGCAAAAUGACCCCGUAACUUCGGGAUAAGGGGUGCCUGCGAGAGCAGGCCGCAGAGAAUAGUCACAAGCGACUGUUUAGCAAAAACACAGGUAUCUGCGAAAGCGAGAGCUGACGUAUAGGUGCUGACACCUGCCCGGUGCUGGAAGGUUAAGGGAACAUGUUAGAGCAAUCGAAGCAUCGAACCGAAGCCCCAGUAAACGGCGGCCGUAACUAUAACGGUCCUAAGGUAGCGAAAUUCCUUGUCGGGUAAGUUCCGACCCGCACGAAUGGUGUAACGACUUGUGAGCUGUCUCAACAGGGGGCCCGGUGAAAUUGAAGUAUGGGUGAAGAUGCCCAUUACCCGCGACUGGACGGAAAGACCCCGUAGAGCUUUACUGCAGCCUGAUAUUGAGUUUCGGUAACUGAUGCACAGGAUAGGUGGGAGUCUGAGAGACAUGGGUUUCGGCUCGUGUGGAGACGAUGUUGGGAUACCACUCUUCGGUUACUGAAAUUCUAACAUAGCUCUGUGAAACCAGAGGAUGGACAGUGUCAGGUGGACAGUUUGACUGGGGCGGUCGCCUCCGAAAGAGUAACGGAGGCGCCCAAAGGUACCCUCAGAAUGGAUGGAAACCAUUCGAAGAGCGCAAAGGCAGAAGGGUGCCUGACUGCGAGAUUGACAAAUCGAGCAGAGACGAAAGUCGGGCUUAGUGAUCCGGCGGUAUUGAGUGGAAAAGCCGUCGCUUAACGGAUAAAAGCUACCUCGGGGAUAACAGGCUGAUCUCCCCCAAGAGUCCACAUCGACGGGGAGGUUUGGCACCUCGAUGUCGGCUCGUCGCAUCCUGGGGCUGAAGCAGGUCCCAAGGGUUUGGCUGUUCGCCAAUUAAAGCGGCACGCGAGCUGGGUUCAGAACGUCGUGAGACAGUUCGGUCCCUAUCCAUCGUGGGCGUAGGAGUCAUGAGAGGAGCUGUUCCUAGUACGAGAGGACCGGAAUGGACGCACCACUGGUGCAACUGUUGUCGUGCCAACGGCAUAGCAGGGAAGCGAAGUGCGGAUGGGAUAAACGCUGAAGGCAUCUAAGCGUGAAGCCCACCUCAAGAAUAAGACUCCACAAUAGACCCCUGGAGGACUACCAGGUAGAUAGGUCAUCGGUGGAAGCGCUGUAAGGCGUGUAGCUUGAUGAUACUAAUCGGUCGAAAGCUUCAUUU